rnacentral:rRNA from 1 species
UGGCUCAGAACGAACGCUGGCGGCGCGUCUAAGCAUGCAAGUCGAACGGCAAGAGGUAGCAAUACCUCCUAGAGUGGCGGACUGGUGAGUAACACGUGGGUGACAUACCCUUCAGAUGGGGAUAGCUAUUAGAAAUAGUAGAUAAUACCGAAUACGAGCACAGGGGUUAGAGAUCUGUGAGGAAAGGAGCUAAGGCUCCGCUGAAGGAAUGGCCUGCGGCCCAUUAGCUAGUUGGUGAGGUAAGAGCCCACCAAGGCGAUGAUGGGUAUCCGGCCUUAGAGGGUGAACGGACACAUUGGGACUGAGAUACGGCCCAGACUCCUACGGGAGGCAGCAGCUAAGAAUAUUCCGCAAUGGACGAAAGUCUGACGGAGCGACGCCGCGUGGAUGAAGAAGGCCGGAAGGUUGUAAAAUCCUUUUGAAACUGAAGAAUAAGCGUUGUAGGGAAUGACAGCGUGGUGACAGUAGGUUUUGAAUAAGCAACGGCUAAUUACGUGCCAGCCGCGGC